AGACUCCUGUGGCUUUGCUGCAGCAAGUCUCCUUCUCGAGGUCUCUCCUUGAGGACUGAGUGAGAAUUAGGAUUCACAUACAUGAACAUGAGGAUGAACCUCUUCGGGGUUGUCUCCUUUCCUACUACUGAUUUUGUCAUCCCUGUUUAGAAGGAUGCAGCACAGUCAGUCCUGGUGAGCUGAUUCUGGAGGGUGAGUCUCCGCCUGCAUAAUUUACCCAGCCCAUGUGAUGUACAACGCUUAGAGCCCAUCAAGCCUCAUAUGACUGAGGGGAGUUGGAACAAUGUGCAUCAGCAUGAUUUAUACUGAUGUGACUCCACUAAACCAGUGUAAAACUGGUGAAUCAGGCCCCCAGGUGGGGGCCCUUGGACGUCCAUCACAGACCAACUGACACACUAUUCCAGCAUUAACGGAGUUUCCUUUAGUGAAACUGGAUCAGCUUAGACAGAGACAUCUGCUAAAGUCAGCAGCGCUCACAUGUUCCCUGGCUCACACAACCUUUAGUUUGUUUUGCUUCUUCUUUUUUUUUUUUUUAAAGUUCCUUUUGGGACACAAUGGGGAUCCAGAUCUCAGUUAGUGUCUCUAGGCUAUCCUGUGAUAUUUCUACCAAUGAUUAUGAUUCUGGUAUGUCA